rnacentral:lncRNA from 1 species
GCUAUAACUGUCAUGCGUGAUAAAUUAGCAUGUCAAACAAAUAUUGUUCAAUAGGGAAGGAACAUUCCUCUUCUUUAUGAAACAUAUAUCUAGAAUAACAAAAAGUUCAUUUACAGAUUACAUAAAAAAAUGCAAGGACUCUUCUCCGCUCGUCGAGACUAUUCUCUUGAACAAAAUAUAAAUCUUGGAGGAGACAUACCUCACUGCUAGUACUAGAGCGGAUCUUGGAGGAGAGCUAACCUACUAGAUCGCGCAGAUGAAGGAACACUAGAUCUGGAUGCACGCUUUCUGCAAGUAAAGAAAUCGAUAGAUAGGGUGAGACGAUUAGGAACAUCAGCCGACAUGAAAGAGCAAACAAGCGCAUGUGUGUGUAAAGGUAGAAUGCAGAGGAGAGGAGACGACAUCACAAAUGGGGAGUGCUCAAACCCUAACCAUCGUCGUCGGUGGAGGACUAGUAGGGCGCGAUCGUGACCGCGUCGUGGACCGGGAACGACGAUUGAGUGGACGGUGGCGACGGAGGAAGCUGGCUUCCCUCGUGUAACCGCGCCGAUGCUGCUCGCGUCGCCUCCCCUUAAG